UCUGGAAGGCUGGGUCCUGCUCCUGCUGAAUUCCGUGGCAGAACUCUGAGUGGUGUCCGUGCCAGGGGGGGUGGUGCGUUUUCUCCGGCCACUGGCUGGGGAUAGAUAACGACUGAAUCCUUGAAAACCCUGCAUGUCAAACAGGCUGCAGGCUAUGCUGGCCACAGGAGCAAUCGCUAUAAGAUUGCUGACAUGGGCCUGAUCCUGCCGCCAGCCAGCCAGCAGGACCCCAUAAGGUGCUGAGCACACACAAGUCCCACUGAGGUCAAGGGGAGCUGAAGGGCCUCGGUAUGACAGAUGAUGAUUUCAUGCAGCACCCUGGGAAACCUUCACUGAAUUAAAUGUAAGUGUCUCUGGGGUCCAUUGUACUGAAUGGGAACGUGCUGUAUUAUUGUGGGGCUGGAAAAUCAAAGAACUCCACUGAUCAAUGUGGCAGACCACAAGAGUCUUUUGGGACAAUGUCCAUAGAGUGGAUUUCCUGGGAACUCUCUAAGGGGAGGUCCUUGGAAAAACCAGCCUUUUCCAGCUAUGCCCUGAGGAGGGGACCAGCAUCGGCUGAUUACUUGUGCCUGGUUUCUGAAGAGAAGAGCCCACGCUGUAGAGAGGAGAGGAUAACCUACUCAUGGGGGCACUUGCUCUGAGCGGCGGCUGUGAUGAACUUAUGCCCGCAGACAGAGCCCUGUGGAGUUUGAAGAACUGACUCCCACAAGCUGCCGGAGCUGGGCUGAUCUUGGGUAACUUAUUAGCAGGGUUAUUGUCCUACCAAUCCGUGGUCCCUGAAGUGUCAUCUGGCUGAAUGAGCACACAGCUGUCUUUCUGCAAAGCACCAUGAGGAGAUAUAAGCUGCUUGGCUGAGCAAACGUGGUCACAAGUAGCCAGCACCCAUCAGAUG